GCUGUUGUUUCUCAGUGGUUAGAGUGUUGGCUUGAACACCAAAGGGUCAUGGGUUCGAUUCCUGGUCAAGGGCA
rfam:Myotis brandtii contig180737, whole genome shotgun sequence.